CUCACUGAAGCAUUUAAAACGCACACUCCAGGACUCAAAGCUCGCAGCCGCGCACACUAUAAAAGCCCAAAGCUAUUGUCCGAAACCCUAAUUUUCUCUCGCGAACACUGUUUUUAUAUAGAAAGUCGGUGCUUUUUUUCCUUUUUUUUUUGUUGGGAAUAAAAUUGAUAAAUAAAUUUUCGGAUUGAGUUUGGAGGAGGCGAUAAUGGAGGGCUCGAGAGGAGAAGAAGCGCAGAAACAGCAGGAGUUUGCUUUGGCUUCCAUUUCUGAGCUUGCGUCGUCGUCUUCUUCUUCUUCUUUGACGCCUGCGGUUGCUCGGUUUAGCGCCGAAGACGGAGUUGUAGAGCUUCGAUUUCAGCAGGAGGCUGAGUCCGAUGCUCGCGUCAAUGUCGAUCUUCAAACUGCUCAGACAUGAGGAUAUGCUUGGAGAGGCAAGAGCGAGAAACUAAUGAAAAAAGGCGUAGAUGAGCUGAAGAAAAAGAGUGCAGAGAGAACAAGAUCCACAAGUUGCCAUAGCAGUGGCUUUGCUUGAUCAAGAAAGCCAAGGCUGUCGCCAUGGUUCACAAGCCGGUCGUGGCCCGAAUGUGGACAAACAUAGGCAUUCUCGGGUGUGAUGCUGUUGGGCUUUCGGGACUUCUUCCGGAGCAAAAGCUUACAGCUGUUAUACGAAUGUUGGCCUAUGGUUCAUCUGCUGAUUAGGUGGAUGAGAUUGCUCGGAUUGGAAAGUCCACUACUUUGGAGAGUUGGUAUGAUUUUGCGAUGCAGUCGAAACUCUGUACACCAGGGACUACCUGCGCAAACUUACGCCUAGGGACCUCUAACGGCUUCUACAAAAAGCCGAAGCUCGAGGAUUUCCGGGAAUGAUUGGUAGCAUCGAUUGUAUGCACUAGCAAUGGAAGAAUUGCCCAACUGCUUGGCCAGGAGAUAUGGAAAUAGAAAAGGGCAAAAAAGUAUCAUCUUUGAAGCCGUUGCUGGAUUCGGGUUUGGCAUGCCUUCUUCGAAGUUGCCGGAUCUCAGAACGACUUGAAUGUGCUGGGUCAAUCCCCGGUUUUCAGUGAUGUCUUGAGAGGUGAAGCCUCGAAUAUCAGCUAUGAUAUCAACAAUACCGUCUACUUGAAUGAGUAUUAUCUAGCAGACGACACCUAUCCGAAGUGGACCACAUUUGUCAAAUCAAUUCCGAAUCCCCGAUCUCAGAAGCAAAAAUUAUUUGCUGCAUAUCAAAAAGGAUAUAGGAAAGAUGUCGAAAGGUGUUUUGGCAUCCUCCAAGCUCGGUGGGCAAUUAUUAGAGGUGCUAAAUAUAUGUUUGAUGAGGAGGUGCUGAUGAGCAUUAUGAUGACUUGCAUCAUCCUCCAUAACAAGAAUUUAUGAAAGGCCCAUGGGGCCAAAUGGGCAACCAUUGGAGCAUGAACCGUUGGCUAGGGACGGUCGUUUCAUGACCCGUAUGUUUUUUUAUU